GACGGGACCCGCACAAGCGUGGAUGAUGUGGAUUAAUUCGAUGCAGCGCGAAAACCUUUACCUACCCUUGACAUGUCCGGAAUCCCGAAGAGAUUUGGGAGUGCUCGCAAAGAGAACCGGAACACAGGUGCUGCAUGGCUGUCGUCAGCUCGUGUCGUGAGAUGUUGGGUUAAGUCCCGCAACGAGCGCAACCCUUGUCAUUAGUUGCCAUCAUUUGGUUGGGCACUCUAAUGAGACUGCCGGUGACAAACCGGAGGAAGGUGGGGAUGACGUCAAGUCCUCAUGGCCCUUAUGGGUAGGGCUUCACACGUCAUACAAUGGUCGGUACAGAGGGUUGCCAACCCGCGAGGGGGAGCUAAUCCCACAAAGCCGAUCGUAGUCCGGAUCGCAGUCUGCAACUCGACUGCGUGAAGUCGGAAUCGCUAGUAAUCGUGGAUCAGCAUGUCACGGUGAAUACGUUCCCGGGUCUU
rnacentral:rRNA from 1 species